GAGAGGGGGAGAGAGAAACAUUGAUGUGAAAGAGAAACAUUGAUCGAUUGCCUCUCGCACAAGCUCCAACCCGGGGUGGAACCCGAACCCUAGGUAUGUGCCCUGACCCAGAAUGGAACCUGAAACCCUUCGGGCGCAUGGCUCCACUCUCCAACCAACUGAGCCACCCGGCAGGGGCGCCCGAUGUCAUUUAAAUGCAGCACAAUGCUUGGUGCAGAGCGGAGGAUUUGGAGAGUCCUAAGUUCAAAUCCCUGCUCUUCCUCUUGCUGGUUGGGUGCUCACGGGCAAGUCACUCGGCCUCUCCUGACGCCUCAGUCUUCCCAUCCAGAGAAUGGCAAGCACUGUUAAGAAAGAGGGAGCUCCUAAAUCCCGCCUUCAACGUGGAUGAACCCAGGGACAUUAUGGCAAGUGAAAUCAGCCAGUUACAGAGGGACACAGACUGCCUGCCUGACUCUGAAGGAUCUAACAUAGUCAAACCCACAGGCAGAGAGAGUAGAACAGUGAUUGCCCGGGGCCGGGAGAAGGCUGAUGGGGAGUUAGUUGUUCCAGGAGUAGAGCGUUUCAGUCACCCAAGAGGAGUCAGUCCCAGAGACCUGGUGUGCAGUACGCAAUGCCUGGAGUCAGCGAUGCCGCCCUGGGCACGUCGACAUUCCCUAAGAAGGCAGCGCUCUUGUCAAGAGUUCUUACCACGAUUCAAAAAAGAAGAGAAAGAGGAAGCUUAUGAGGGGUCGCUAAGAUCUUUGGUUAAGGGAACAAGAAUUGAAUGUCCAGUUAUAUCCUCCAGCUCCAGAAUAUUUCAAUGCUCCCUGUGUCUUCCCAUUUACCUACGAAGACCUGACCUACUACAGCUGCAUCUCUGUGCACAGCGAUUAUGCCUGGUGCUCCCUGGAAGACAGAUUCAAUGGCAGGUGGCGCUACUGCACGGCCAACGACCCCCCCAUGUGUACCUUCCCCUUCCGCUUCAGGAGUAGACUCUUUCAGACGUGCACCAAGGUAGGCUACAUUUUCAAUAGGACGUGGUGCUCGCUGACCAGUAAUUACGAUGCAGAUGGAAAAUGGAAGCAGUGUUCUCCUUACAAUUUAUAGUAAGUCUUGGUGUUCACGAACGGACAGAAGUUAUAGGAUUCAUCAGCUGCCUCUCAAAAUGGAUCUUUUCCCGGAUCAUUCUGACCAAUAAAGAUUUGAUCCCUCUC